GCGGGUGUAGUUCAAUGGUAGAACGCCAGCUUCCCAAGCUUGAGACGAGGGUUCGAUUCCCUUCACCCGCUCCA
rnacentral:tRNA from 4 species